AGCAAAUUAAAAGUGUGCAGGUCUUUGGCAAGCCACGUUUAGAUAUGUGUUGCUCAGAAACCGUCUCCUUGUUCAAUACUGCAUGCCCCAAAUAGUUUCAAUUAACUCUUUUCCUUUCCGGCAAGAUCUGCAGCUCUCCGCAUUGCUUUUUGGGAGCGAUUACUUCCUAGAUUUACAAAUGUCACAGCCUCAUAUGCUUCUGCUGCCAGAAAGCACAUCGCAGCAGAGAGCUUCAUUUCGGUGUGAAGCGAGAGUAACAGCAACAGAGCAAAUAUACGUGGAGGAAAAAGAGAAACAAGGAGCUGAAUUUCCACCCCAUGCAGCCCCCCGGCUUCAAGAAAUCACUGCAGUACAGAUUUUAACAAUUAACAUUCCUGUAGUGCAAGUCGUUCUGGAUGGAGCUAAUAAAUGUUUUCAAACACUCCCC
rnacentral:lncRNA from 1 species